rnacentral:rRNA from 1 species
GAUGAACGCUAGCUACAGGCUUAACACAUGCAAGUCGAGGGGAAACGGCAUUAAGUGCUUGCACUUUUUGGACGUCGACCGGCGCACGGGUGAGUAACGCGUAUCCAACCUUCCCAUGACUAAGGGAUAACCUGCCGAAAGGCAGACUAAUACCUUAUGGUCUUCACUGACGGCAUCAGAUGUGAAGUAAAGAUUUAUCGGUUAUGGAUGGGGAUGCGUCUGAUUAGCUGGUUGGCGGGGUAACGGCCCACCAAGGCAACGAUCAGUAGGGGUUCUGAGAGGAAGGUCCCCCACAUUGGAGCUGCGGCCCAGUCCACACUCCUACGGGAGGCAGCAGUGAGGAAUAUUGGUCAAUGGGCGAGAGCCUGAACCAGCCAAGUAGCGUGCAGGAUGCCGGCCCUAUGGGUUGUAAACUGCUUUUGUAUGGGGAUAAAGUCAAUCACGCGUGAUUGUUUGCCGUUACCAGACGAAUAAGGACCGGCUAAUUCCGUG